rnacentral:rRNA from 1 species
GACGAACGCUGGCGGCGUGCCUAAUACAUGCAAGUCGAACGCAGUGGGGCCGGGUGAGUAACACGUGGGUAACCUCCCCACAGAGGGGAUAACACUUGGAAACAGGUGCUAAACCGAUACUGAUGGAUGGCCCCGCGGUUCAUUAGCUAGUUGGUGAGUGAACGGCUUACCAAGGCCACGAUGCAUAGCCGAACUGAUAGGGUGAUCGGCAACACUGGGAAUGAGACACGGCCCAGACUCCUACGGGAGGCAGCAGUAGGGAAUCUUCGGCAAUGGACGAAAGUCUGACCGAGCAACGCCGCGUGAGUGAAGAAGGUUUUCGGAGCGUAAAACUCUGUUGUUAGAGAAGCGGUAUCUAACCAGAAAGCCACGGCUAACUACGUGCCAGCAGCCGCGGUAAUAC